UUCCACUCUCUCUCAAGCCCCAAGCGCUGGGCGCCAAAUUUUGUCCUGGUUUAGGGCAAAUUUGGGAGAGAAUCCCCAAAAAGGGCUUCUCCAAAAGCAAACCCACACGGCCCCUCCCCCAAUUGGUUCAGGAAGAACUCCUCGGAGAGAGGUGGAAAGAACCUGUUUAUUCGACAAGCACAGCACGCCCCAGCACACACAAUGAACAAUACCGGAUGACACCACUCUUCCACUGCUCUGAGAAAGAUGACAAAUUCAGAAAGUCUCUCCUGGGGGUUUGCUGUUAUCAGUCCCUCCGGCGCUGAGGCAGCUGCUGCAGUCACAAGGUGUAACCUCUCUCUCGGUGUUCUGAAUCCCAGUCCGGAGCAGUCAGCAGGUCCAACGGGGUGGGGGGAACAGUCCAGAAAGGAAUUUGGACUGUUUAGCUAAAGUAACUAAUGAGAAGGGGGGAAAAAAGCAAGAGCAAGCAAAGCAGAAGCGAAGCAGAAGCAAGCGCGAAAGCAAAAAGGAAGGCAAAAAGCAGAAAAGCUGCAACAUGCACUGGUGCUAUCUGCAUGUCCCGCUGAGUGGCUGAUAAGAGGCCCAAACCAAAACUCUCACUCUGCCAGUCUUAAAGGCACAGAACAUAAUAUCCAGCAUAAAUUACAUACACACGGAUGGGGAUAACAGUCACCCUAGGACACCUUCCUGACCUCACCCCAGAGGGUUGCCACCUUUGAGGAAAGGGAAGCCAAUGCCAAGAAAUCAGUUAUGUCUACAGCACAAACCUUAGAAGGGCUAAGACAUAAAAGGGCAAUUCCUCAAACUACCACCCUGGAUUUCAGAAUCCAUAAUAUUCAUCCCAGGGAUUGGGUGAUGAUCAAGUCAUGGAGAGAUCAGCCUCUAACUCCUCAGUGGGAAGGUCCCUUCCAGGUACUGCUCACCACCGAAUCGGCUGUGUGAACUGCAGAGCGGGGAUGGACUCAUGGCAACAGAGCCAAAGGCCCAGUAGAAGAACCCAAAGAAUGGACUAUAACAUCCAGGCUGGGUGAAACAAGAUUGACUCUCAAGCAGAGAGUGAAAGACAACCAGAAAAACACCAAGACCCCCAAAAAAGUAGAGUCAAGCUUCCAUCAACCAGCUCGAGAACUGUCUUCCUGUUUUAAUGAGUGAGAAUUACCAGCAUCUGUUGAGGGGAAGUACACAAGGGACUGUAAAAGGUAAUGGGACAGCUUCUUUAAGAAAAGAAGACAAAGGGAGGAGAGCAAGACUGGGUUGGACCCUUUGUUUGCUACUAAGAAGGCUCCAUAGCCCUGCUGGGGGUAGCAACCCCAUAAACAUGGUAAGGUAGGGACAAAAGGCCAGACCAGACCUCUGACAUUCCUCAGUUGUCUUUUAAUUCAACAGGGACUGGAGGGCAAGACCGAGUUGGGCUCUGUACUCACCCCUAAGAUACACUGACUAUGGGUAGCAGCCACACAGGCACGGAUGGCCUCAGUAGUUGGGGCAUUUGGGAGGAUCAGCUUGUUACUCUGGCAGCACUGACCUCCAAUCAAGGUGUAAUAAAGUGAUCUCCACCACUGGACAGUGAAGAAGGAGUCGAUUGACAAGCCUUUGGGAGGGGCUAGAGGUAGAAAAGUCAGAACAUCCAUAUUGUAGAUAAGAACAUGGUGACUGAUUGCUUUGCUCCUGGUGCUGUGUUCUUUUCUUUAUUCAGUCUCCUGUUGUAUUUUGAUAAGAUCUUAAUAAAGCAUUUGAAUUUUUGAAAGUAAGAA